rnacentral:misc_RNA from 1 species
GGUGAAUAAGUUUACUGUGUUUUCCCUUGUUUUCUAUAGAAAAUAAAACCUGAAGUUUUCUCAGAAAAUGGAAAAUCGACGACAGAAAAUUACUACCCACAAUAAACAGGACCCAAGAGUUUUCAAACAUAAUCACAAGGAACAAUUGAACCAGCACCUAGAUUUCACAUAUAGAACAAAGUAAAAAUUCCUCAGCUGCAAUUGAAUAAGCUCAUCUCCUGAAUUUUUACACCAAUUGGGGGUUAUCAGUGUGCAAAAAACCUAGAACAGCUGCUGUGACCAGCUACAAAUAGACACUCAUUCUCUGGCAAUUAAACUCUGUACUGUUUUGUAGUAAAAGGAUUUGCAACUGCAUAAUUUUUGUCCGAAGCUGCUAGCUAAAAAUAGACAACAAAUCCUCAAUUGAAGUCAAAAUAUCUAAAAUUGCUUAUGUUGGAAAGGAGUGCCCAUCCAGUUAAAAUUCAAAAACAUUAAAGCAGUAUAAUUCCCUAAAAACAACAUAGUUUAAUUGCCCCAAAGAAAGAAGGUGGACUCCUCUUACAAUUUCAUGCACCAAAGGUAGACCUUAAGCCCAGGAAAAGAACACAGAAUAACAUGCAAAAAAAAGAGUAUGGCAAUUUCUUGCAUCCAAUAAUUAUCAAUUUCAUUAAGGUUGAGCAAUUUAUAUAAUAAUUUCAUUGAGAAUACGAGAAUAUGUAUUUAAAUAUAGCCUUUCCCCACAGGUGAAAAGGGAUAGGCAGGUAUGGAUAAAGUAUUAGGAUUAAAGCUUUACAACUUCUGCAGUUUGAACGCAAACAAAAUGCGAAUAUGAU